rnacentral:rRNA from 1 species
AUUGAACGCUGGCGGAAUGCUUUACACAUGCAAGUCGAACGGCAGCACGGGGGCAGCCCUGGUGGCGAGUGGCGAACGGGUGAGUAAUACAUCGGAACGUGCCCGGUCGUGGGGGAUAACGUAGCGAAAGUUACGCUAAUACCGCAUACGAUCUGAGGAUGAAAGCGGGGGACCUUCGGGCCUCGCGCGAUCGGAGCGGCCGAUGUCAGAUUAGGUAGUUGGUGGGGUAAGGGCCUACCAAGCCGACGAUCUGUAGCUGGUCUGAGAGGACGACCAGCCACACCGGGACUGAGACACGGCCCAGACUCCUACGGGAGGCAGCAGUGGGGAAUUUUGGACAAUGGGCGCAAGCCUGAUCCAGCCAUUCCGCGUGCAGGACGAAGGCCUUCGGGUUGUAAACUGCUUUUGUACGGAACGAAAAGGCUCUGGCUAAUACCUGGGGCUCAUGACGGUACCGUAAGAAUAAGCACCGGCUAACUACGUG